rnacentral:tmRNA from 1 species
GGGGCUGACGUGGUUUUGACAGCAUGUAGAAUUGAUAUGUAAGCAUGUCGAGCGUUGUGAUUCCAGCUCGUAAAUAUCGGAUCUCACACUUUUUAAUUGGCGAAAAUAAUUACGCUCUUGCUGCUUAAUCGAAUCAUAGUAGAUUAAAGCUUAAUUGCGGCACAAGGUUGCUGCGACGAGACAUCCCGCUUAUGGUUCCACCUUGUUCCGGUAAGUAUAUGGGAUGCUGGCAAUUCAGGGUUAGCUGACUUCAAGCUUCGGGGAGUUCGCGAAAUUUAGAAGAUAAGCUAAGGUUUCGGGUGUGCUUUCCCUACCCUUAGUCGAAAACCAAUAAAUCACUAAGCAUGUAGAAAGCCUAUUGGUCGCAUGUUUGGACCAGGGUUCGAUUCCCUGCAGCUCCACAC